GACGAACGCUGGCGGCGUGCUUAACACAUGCAAGUCGAACGGAAAGGCCCUGCUUUUGUGGGGUGCUCGAGUGGCGAAAGGGGGAGUAACACGUGAGUAACCUGCCCCUGACAUUGGGAUAACUUCAGGAAACUGGGGAGAAUACCGGAUAGGAGCUCCGGCGGCACGGGGGGGGUUGGAAAGAUUCGGCGGUUGGGGAUGGACGCGCGGCCUAUCGGCUUGUUGGUGGGGUAGUGGGGUACCAAGGCUUUGACGGGUAGCCGGCCUGAGAGGGUGACCGGCCACAUUGGGACUGGGAUACCGCCCAGACUCCUUCGGGAGGCAGCAGUGGGGCAUAUUGCACAAUGGGCGGAAUCCUGAUGCAGCAACGCCGCGUGCGGGAUGACGGCCUUCGGGUUGUAACCCGCUUUCGCCUGUGACGAAGCGUGAGUGACGGUAAUGGGUCAAGAAGCACCGGCUAACUACGUG
rnacentral:rRNA from 1 species